rnacentral:rRNA from 1 species
AUUGAACGCUGGCGGCAGGCCUAACACAUGCAAGUCGAGCGAGCGGCGGACGGGUGAGUAAGGGCUGGGAAACUGCCUGACGGAGGGGGAUAACUACUGGAAACGGUAGAUAAUACCGCAUACCAUCAGAUGUGCCCAGUUGGGAUUAGCUAGUGGGUGGGGUAAUGGCUCACCUAGGCGACGGACCCUAGCUGGUCUGGGAGGAUGACCAGCCACCCUGGAACUGGGCCACGGUCCAGACUCCUACGGGAGGAAGCGGUGGGGAAUAUUGCACAAUGGGCGCAAGCCGGAUGCAGCAAUGCCGGGUGUGUGAAGAAGGCCUUCGGGUUGUAAAGCACUUUCAGCGGGGAGGCGUUACCCACAGAGGAAGCACCGGCUAACUCCGUGCCAGCAGCCGCGGUAAUAC